CAGAAGUCAUGAAUAUUGCUAAUGUACAUGAUGUUGACCAUCAACAUGAGUAACGAAAACGCUGUCAAAUUCGCAGCCGCAGCAAAUGCCAUUUAGCUAUUUCGCUAUUCUGGGCUCGUGUUUAGUACAUGUGCACCUGUUUCCCAACUGAAAGAACCAAAAAAUGGGUUAUUAUCUGCCAUCACGUAGUUGCCAUUGCUCACCGUGUUGAAAAUUUUCCCAAAAACCAUGAAACUGGUACUCCAGAAUUCUUAUUGUGGUAAAAGUCUACUUAAGAUGGUUCGAUGUGUAAUAACACCUCAGUAGCCAACUUACAGCCAUGGGCUACAUGCAGUUCAGAUUCGAAGAACGUCGCAUACAAAAACCACAUGCAGCACACAUAUUCGCUAUGAAUUUCACUUUACGAAUCAUUCCGAGAUCCCCUUCAAGGAUCAUUCAUAGUUGACGUUAGUUGGCACGAUACUCGAAACAAAAGCAUAUGAGAAAACGGAGGAACAAAGAAAACGGCGAAUACCUGCAGGAGAUGCCAGGGAAUCGUUAUCAAUUUUCCACUUGUCGGAGACGGAGCGUGAAAGAACGCAGCCGUCACUGAAAUCGAGACGCGUGAGAAUGUCCAGCAUCUGUACAGGGGUUUCUGAAGGAGCUUCAGAGAUUGUCGAAGUGUCCCUCAGCGUCAUGGGGGGCGGCGGCGGUAAAGACGUUGCAGCCGAGCUUGUCAAGCUUUCCCGUAGGAUUAUGAUAAUGAGAAAGCACAAGAAGAACUGCCCCGCCGUCAUAGUCAUGGCAAGGUACUACAGUCACACAACUACGUAAGAGGUUGUGUACGAAUCGUAGGCUACUUGUCUACAUACUUCCGAACUGCUCGUUACGCUUCGAUUGCUUCAUUUGCCUUCCCCUCGUCGCAUGUCAGUUCUUCGAAAUUGUCUCACUACAAUUGAGUUCCACGUCUAUGAGCUUUCGAACGAAAACUAUCCAAGAGUCACUCGAUUCUACACCACAGUAUGCUCUUCUCCUAUCUCAGCAUCAUCAAUAUUCUACAGGCCAAAUUGCUACAAACUGCGACUUGAGGGAGGCUGAACUCAACCUGUGCAUCUGAAGACGAUCCGCUGCUGCAUUGGUUACUAUCCUCUCUAAAUCCACAACUCUCACCUCUUGAAAUUCCCUUAAAUAAAGUACGGAGUGCAUGAAUCUGAAAUCAUUCUAGUGCUGCCGGCGGCCCGAUUGAACUUUCUACACACCCAUAGAGAUCCUCGCAGGAUCCGGGCGAAUAACUGGAGACAGAUGAUGAUUGCAUGGACUCAAGAGCGCCGCCUGGAGCUACGACUGACGAUCAACUGACUCUACAUGUGGUGCACGCGCGAGGGAAGCGUGAAACUGCGAAUCUUUUCGCAAGUGACAGGAAUGUCCUUCGGGUUCAUACGCAUAUUCCGAA
rnacentral:lncRNA from 1 species